GAUGAACGCUGGCGGCGUGCCUAAUACAUGCAAGUCGAGCGAACGGACGAGAAGCUUGCUUCUCUGAUGUUAGCGGCGGACGGGUGAGUAACACGUGGAUAACCUACCUAUAAGACUGGGAUAACUUCGGGAAACCGGAGCUAAUACCGGAUAAUAUUUUGAACCGCAUGGUUCAAAAGUGAAAGACGGUCUUGCUGUCACUUAUAGAUGGAUCCGCGCUGCAUUAGCUAGUUGGUAAGGUAACGGCUUACCAAGGCAACGAUGCAUAGCCGACCUGAGAGGGUGAUCAGCCACACUGGAACUGAGACCCGGUCCAGACUCCUACGGGAGGCAGCAGUAGGGAAUCUUCCGCAAUGGGCGAAAGCCUGACGGAGCAACGCCGCGUGAGUGAUGAAGGUCUUCGGAUCGUAAAACUCUGUUAUUAGGGAAGAACAUAUGUGUAAGUAACUGUGCACAUCUUGACGGUACCUAAUCAGAAAGCCACGGCUAACUACGUG
rnacentral:rRNA from 1 species